rnacentral:rRNA from 1 species
GACGAACGCUGGCGGCGUGCCUAAUACAUGCAAGUAGAACGCUGAAGGAGGAGCUUGCUCUUCUGGAUGAGUUGCGAACGGGUGAGUAACGCGUAGGUAACCUGCCUGGUAGCGGGGGAUAACUAUUGGAAACGAUAGCUAAUACCGCAUAAGAGUAGAUGUCGCAUGACAUUUGCUUAAAAGGUGCAAUUGCAUCACUACCAGAUGGACCUGCGUUGUAUUAGCUAGUUGGUGAGGUAACGGCUCACCAAGGCAACGAUACAUAGCCGACCUGAGAGGGUGAUCGGCCACACUGGGACUGAGACACGGCCCAGACUCCUACGGGAGGCAGCAGUAGGGGAUCUUCGGCAAUGGACGGAAGUCUGACCGAGCAACGCCGCGUGAGUGAAGAAGGUUUUCGGAUCGUAAAGCUCUGUUGUAAGAGAAGAACGAGUGUGAGAGUGGAAAGUUCACACUGUGACGGUAUCUUACCAGAAAGGGACGGCUAACUACGUGCCAGCAGCCGCGGUAAUACGUAGGUCCCGAGCGUUGUCCGGAUUUAUUGGGCGUAAAGCGAGCGCAGGCGGUUAGAUAAGUCUGAAGUUAAAGGCUGUGGCUUAACCAUAGUACGCUUUGGAAACUAUUUAACUUGAGUGCAAGGGGGGAGAGUGGAAUUCCAUGUGUAGCGGUGAAAUGCGUAGAUAUAUGGAGGAACACCGGUGGCGAGAGCGGCUCUCUGGCUUGUAACUGACGCUGAGGCUCGAAAGCGUGGGGAGCAAACAGG